rnacentral:rRNA from 1 species
AGCAGCCGCGGUAAUUCCAGCUCCAAUAGCGUAUAUUAAAGUUGUUGCAGUUAAAAAGCUCGUAGUUGAAUUUCGGGAUCAAAGGAUCGGUCAUGCCUUGGUAUGUACUGGUUUUAUUGGUUCUCACCUUCUAAAGAACCAUAAUGUCAUUCAUUUGAUGUUAUGGGGAAUUAGGACUGUUACCUUGAAAAAAUUAGAGUGUUUAAAGCAGGCCUACGCUUGAAUACAUUAGCAUGGAAUAAUGAAAUAGGACAUCAGAUUCUAUUUUGUUGGUUUCUAGGAUCGAUGUAAUGAUUAAUAGGGAUAGUUGGGGGCAUUAGUAUUCAAUUGUCAGAGGUGAAAUUCUUGGAUUUAUUGAAGACUAACUACUGCGAAAGCAUUUGCCAAGGAUGUUUUCAUUAAUCAAGAACGAAAGUUAGGGGAUCGAAGACGAUCAGAUACCGUCGUAGU